rnacentral:rRNA from 1 species
UACGUAGGGUGCGAGCGUUAAUCGGAAUUACUGGGCGUAAAGCGUGCGCAGGCGGUUUUGUAAGCCAGAUGUGAAAUCCCCGGGCUUAACCUGGGAAUGGCAUUUGGGACUGCAAGGCUCGAGUGCGGCAGAGGAGACUGGAAUUCCUGGUGUAGCAGUGAAAUGCGUAGAUAUUGGGAGGAACACCAGUGGCGAAGGCGGCUCACUGGACCGGAACUGACGCUGAGGCGCGAAAGCGUGGGGAGCAAACAGG